CUGGCCAAAGAAGAACAAAGGAAGAAAAGAAAGAACAAGAACCCUAGGGUGAAAAUUCAAGAGAAAAAUUGGUGGAUUUCAAGUAAUCAAGCAAUCAAAGGUAAAAUUUCUUGAUUUUGACUUGUGAUCUACCUUUCCCAUGCAUUAUUUUGCAUUUUUCAUGGUUGAAUCACAAGAUAUCAUGAAGGAUUCAUGGCUGACAGAAUUUAGAGAGAGAAGAUUUGAUGGUUGUUUUGGUUAGAUUUUAAGAUUUCUAGUGUUUUUAGUUAGUUGGUGAUGUGUAGCAUGAAAAUUAAACAAGAAAAAUUCAUUUUCUCCCAUAACCCAUCAUUGGCUAAAUUUUCCAUGUAGAAUGUGGAUGAUGAUUUGAUUUUAUUUCAAGUGAAUUGGUUAGGAAAUGAUGAAUUAUGGUGAGAAAAUCAAGUAGGAAAAAUCAUAAUGUUGAUGCACCCACCAUGGCCGAAUUUUCCAAGAGAAAAUGUGAAGAUGAUUUUGCUAGAUUUUAUGCUAUUUGACUUGUGUUUGAUGAUUUGGAGUAUUGGGAGAAAAAUGAAAUUAUUUGGAGUUAAAUUGGACAUAUUGGCCUAUUAAUCGAGAGAUAGAUCGAAUUAGGCCAAUACCGUUUUAUUUAGGUACACAAUUGAAUUUGUGUAGAAUACCGUGUUUAGAUGAUAAUCCGAACAAUUUGCAUCCCAUUUCAUGCAUUAGUAAAGAGUCUGAAAUAGAUUUAUAAUGGUAUGACACAGUAUAUUGAAUUAUGUGUCGUGUAUUGUAUAUAGGUGGUGAGCCCUCUAACAAGGGUAAAGACAUUGUGUCAGAGGACUGAGAAUAGGAGUAUUUCAAACUCCUGAUACUAUGAGUAACCUUACUAUCAUCUUAAUUAUCUAGAGUGGUUUUUAUCCGAUUUUGUGAUUUUAUGGAAAAUGAGUUUAAAUGGUAAAUUUUUAGGUUUUAUAAACAAAUGUGUUUAAAUAAAAUGAUUUCAUAAAUGGUCUUGAAAUUGAAUGAAGGCUUUAAAAAGAGAGUAAUUGGAGACCAUUUGAUUUAUUGUGAAUUUAUGGUUUUAAUUGAUUGGCUUAUGACAAUAUUGGCAUGAAUGGUUGAAUUGGUAUUUGUGUUGAAAUGUAUAAACUGUUGUUUGCCUUGAUAGGCUGGAUAAUGAUAAAAUUGCCAUAUCAUACUGUUGAAAUUUUAUUGUAUGGUGGGUUUAGCUUGCUGCAGUGGGUUGGUUCUGUAGACCAGCCUAUUAGAGGGGCACGGAACCUGGUCAUAUUCAUACCUCAGUAUGAGAGGCACGGAUGGAUAACUCCUGAGGUUAACACUUUAGAGUUCACUUCACGCCAAACCACCACGUGAGGGUGAACUUAGCCAACGCCAAGGAACGACUAUGUUUUCAAAAUAAAAACGUGAUUUAUGUGUACCUAACUUUUUAACAGCCUUGGCUAUCUCAGUUGCGAUAGCCCUCGGCCAAGGCAUCCUUAAUAACUGACUAUGAAAAUGAUUUUGGCACGAGCCAAAGCUUUUAAGAAAUUCAUAAGCCAUGUUGAUUACUCGAUUUAUAUGAAUUGAUUUUAUUUGGUUGAAAUGAGUUGAAAGGUGAUGAAUUACAGUAUAUUAAAUUGUUUUAUCUGUCUCCAUUUACUCAGCUUUAGAUAUUUUAGAUGGUAUUUGUUUACUCACUGGGAUUGUAUAAUCUCACCACCCUCCUUUCCACCCAUUUCAGGCUUAGGAUAAUCUAUAGAUAGGUUAUUUCAUCGAGGACCACUAUUGGAUUUACAUCCUCCAAACUGUAGGUUCACAAUUUUUCUUACUUUUGGUUAAUCGAGGGCCCACUUGUUACUGUAAAUUAAAUUAAAUAGUCCGACUUACUGUAUUACGAUAUAUAUGAAUUUAUUUUGCUUUUACGUUGUAAAAAUUAUUUAUGCAGUGUUCUAAAAAUAUUAUUUUAUGAGAAAAUUGAACAUUUUAUUCAAUAUUUUUAUUUUAUUCUAAU
rnacentral:lncRNA from 1 species